rnacentral:rRNA from 1 species
UGAGCAAUCUGCCCUUCUCAUCGGAAUAAGCGUUGAAAACGACGUCUAAUGCCGAAUACGACCUCCUUUCGCAUGAUCGGAGGUGGAAAGCUCCGGCGGAGAAGGAUGAGCUCGCGGCCUAUCAGCUAGUUGGUGUGGGUAAUGGCCCACCAAGGCGACGACGGGUAGCCGGCCUGAGAGGGUGACCGGCCACACUGGGACUGAGACACGGCCCAGACUCCUACGGGAGCAG